GCGGCAGCUACCAUGCAGUCGAGCGCACCUUCGGGUGAGCGGCGGACGGGUUAGUAACGCGUGGGAACGUGCCCUUCUCUAAGGAAUAGCCUCUGGAAACGGAGAGUAAUACCUUAUACGCCCUUCGGGGGAAAGAUUUAUCGGAGAAGGAUCGGCCCGCGUUAGAUUAGAUAGUUGGUGGGGUAACGGCCUACCAAGUCUACGAUCUAUAGCUGGUUUUAGAGGAUGAUCAGCAACACUGGGACUGAGACACGGCCCAGACUCCUACGGGAGGCAGCAGUGGGGAAUCUUGGACAAUGGGGGCAACCCUGAUCCAGCCAUGCCGCGUGAGUGAUGAAGGCCUUAGGGUCGUAAAGCUCUUUCGCCUGUGAAGAUAAUGACGGUAGCAGGUAAAGAAACCCCGGCUAACUCCGUGCCAGCAGCCGCGGUAAUACGGAGGGGGUUAGCGUUGUUCGGAAUUACUGGGCGUAAAGCGCACGUAGGCGGACCAGAAAGUUGGGGGUGAAAUCCCGGGGCUCAACCCCGGAACUGCCUCCAAAACUAUUGGUCUAGAGUUCGAGAGAGGUGAGUGGAAUUCCAAGUGUAGAGGUGAAAUUCGUAGAUAUUUGGAGGAACACCAGUGGCGAAGGCGGAAUCACU
rnacentral:rRNA from 1 species